rnacentral:ribozyme from 1 species
CACUAAUCGGUAUAUUCCUUUUUUUUUUUUUUUUUUUUUUUUUUUUUCCCGGGCCCGGGUUCACUUGUCAUCCUUCAUAAUACUUGGAAACAUUGUGUGUCCGUUCCAAUCGAUAGUCACUUUCGAUAAAAAGGAAAAUACGGAGGCAACAAAACCCUCGAUCAAAUUAUUUGAAGCAAUCAAAAACUUCAUUUCACUACUAUUUU